rnacentral:tRNA from 1 species
UUAAAAAAGAWAAGCUAAAUUUAA